rnacentral:piRNA from 1 species
UUGNGGAACAGAUAGAAAUGCAUCAAGGCUUU